rnacentral:sRNA from 1 species
GUUUAUGCGAAAUGGCAUUUGUAGUUUUGGGCGAAAUGACGCUACGCCGGCGGCAGCCCUUGUCGAUGAAGGACUUCCUCGGGUCAAUCUGCUAUGGAACAAAAUAAAGACAAAGGGUCAGCGAAGGAACUUCAUAUCUACUACUAACUAAAUUUCCCAUGAACAUUCCAUUAAGGAACAUAAGGUACUUUUCUAAUAUCAACGAAGGUUAAAGCUCAAUGAUAAAAGGCCUCCUUUUUAUGCCGAGUCCGAAAGUAGUUGUUGUUGUUGUCGCAGUUUCUUGUGUUGUCUUUCGCCUGCUUGAUUCUGUUAAGUGACCAAAUAGAGGAACUCUACGACAAAGAUGGGGUGCGUCCAGAAAGUCAUGCCGUAUAGCGACACCACUUAAUUGAGAAGUUUUUCAAUGUCAGGAUAGGUCACAAAGGUAACAGAUUAGUAAGGGGAUAAACACCGCAGAAAAUUUAAGGAUCUGAUGUUCACCCCGGGAUUUGAACCCGGGUGUUUAGCGUCAUAGGCGUACAUACUAACCUCUAAGGUGUCCUCCACUUCAAGGUAAUAUCCAAAAACGUUGCCUGCUUAAAUGUAUAUCAAUCAAAAUGGUCUUAUUAUUUAAUAACGAAUCUCAAGGACAUUCAGAAGAGCGAAAUUGUCCACGAACAUCUAUCCCAUGAAGGGCUAGAGAUGCUCAUCAAAAUAAAAAAGCAGAAACUUCAUAUUAAUAUCCAAAGUUCUAUCCCCCUCAACCUUAGCUUAGCCAAAGGGUUCUUUCUAUUUACAUAUUGAAAAGUAGGGAAGACGUUUAAAAAAGAGUUAAAUCUUUCAUCCAAAAUAUUUUGCAUGUAAUAUACUUUCCAAUCUACUUUAAUGUACUUUCCAAGAACAUCCUAAAUUAAGCAAUAGAGACGCAGUUCAAAAUAAAAAGGAUCAACCAGGGAACUUCAUAUCAAUAUCUGGUAACGAUCAGCAGAAUGAAAACUUUCAAUCAAGAAGAUCUGCGGUGCUCAAAUACCCAACAUUAGUGAGGAUAUAAUCAACACUGAACAAUAAUUUAUUUUCAAGUCAGGAUCUCUACCACAAGCUUUAGAAAUCCAUAUCAAAAAGUUAUCCAGUGUUAUCUUGCACAAGUGUCUUUCGAGUUUUCAAAAAUCAGCAUAAAAUUGAUGUAUUCUUUUUG